GACGAACGCUGGCGGCGUGCUUAACACAUGCAAGUCGAACGAAAAGAGGGAAAGAGCUUGCUCUUUCCGGAAUUGAGUGGCAAACGGGUGAGUAACACGUAAACAACCUGCCUUCAGGAUGGGGACAACAGACGGAAACGACUGCUAAUACCGAAUAAGUUCCAAGAGCCGCAUGGCCCAUGGAAGAAAAGGUGGCCUCUACCUGUAAGCUAUCGCCUGAAGAGGGGUUUGCGUCUGAUUAGCUGGUUGGAGGGGUAACGGCCUACCAAGGCGACGAUCAGUAGCCGGUCUGAGAGGAUGAACGGCCACACUGGAACUGAGACACGGUCCAGACUCCUACGGGAGGCAGCAGUGGGGAAUCUUCCGCAAUGGGCGAAAGCCUGACGGAGCAACGCCGCGUGAGUGAUGACGGCCUUCGGGUUGUAAAACUCUGUGAUCCGGGACGAAAAGGCAGAGUGCGAAGAACAAACUGCAUUGACGGUACCGGAAAAGCAAGCCACGGCUAACUACGUGCCAGCAGCCGCGGUAAUACGUAGGUGGCAAGCGUUGUCCGGAAUUAUUGGGCGUAAAGCGCGCGCAGGCGGCUUCCCAAGUCCCUCUUAAAAGUGCGGGGCUUAACCCCGUGAUGGGAAGGAAACUGGGAAGCUGGAGUAUCGGAGAGGAAAGUGGAAUUCCUAGUGUAGCGGUGAAAUGCGUAGAGAUUAGGAAGAACACCGGUGGCGAAGGCGACUUUCUGGACGAAAACUGACGCUGAAGCUCGAAAGUGCGGGUAUCGAACAGG
rnacentral:rRNA from 1 species